rnacentral:lncRNA from 1 species
AGGAUGGUCUCUAUCUCCUGACCUCGUGAUCUGCCUGCCUCCGCCUCCCAAAGUGCUGGGAUUACAGGCGUGAGCCACCGCGCCCGGACUGUUUUUUUUGUUUGUUUUUUUUUGUUUUUGUUCUUUUUUUUUUAAAGUGAGCAGAACAUUGCGGCUCUAGUGAAGGUUACGCAUAGGCAAGCAGACGGGGUGUGAAAUUAGGAGGAAGGCAAGGGGCUCCCUGCAGAGAAUCUUGAAGGCCAGUCAUGCCUGCACUUCGUCAUUUUCUCAACAAAAUAUAUUAACAUAUAACAUUUAAUAUAUGGUAUAUAGUUUUUCGCUGCUAUAAGUGUAGGGGUGGAGGAUAUGGGGGCCACUUGUAAUAUGAGCAAAUAAUAACUUUGAUUUAGUAUCAUUUUGUCACAUUUGUUCUCAAAUAUUUAUUAUUUUCUUAACUGCUCAUGGGAGUACUGAAAUCCUAUAAUAUAUGUAUUUUUGGCUUUCUGGGGUUUGACUAAUAUAAGAUGAUAAAUCAUCCACCUGCAAACAUAGUGGACCUCUUCUGCAGAGAGACCAACAUUCAGGGUUCUAAAAGCCAAGCCUUCCCAGCAAUGUUCUCUCCAUCUCCCUGUGACUACAUCCCGCAGAAAGCUGUCAUUAGGAAGGAAACAUGGUGUUUGGACCAUUUGUACUGGUUUCUAAGUGAGUGUUAACACAGGAAUACAGAUGUACUAUGUGAGGUUUGGAUAAUGGACACUCAUUUAUAAGGUAAUUGUCACCAAAAAUAGGGGAUUAUGUUAAUUUUUUAUAGUCUGGGCAUUUUGCACUUUGAAAUGAGAAUGAAAAAAGAAGUAGCUACUGAGUGGGAUGAUGAAUGAAUGAGGGGACAGAGCCAGGGCUGACAUCCCAAGUAUUAGAUCCACAUAUUCUGUGUUGGAUCUUUUCCAGGGUAAAUUAUAGAGGAAAAUGCCAUUUGUCUUAUUUUCAUCCUUUCCAUCUGUGGAACUUGAAGAGUUACUACCAUUUUUUAUUGAGCUUGUUUUGAGGAGUAUUAAUUUAACUUUAUACAAAGAUGAAAAAGAAUGUAAAAUAAGAAUUUGGUUUCUUGGCAAUUCGAAAUGAGGUCACUGUUUUACAAGGCCUUAUCAUCCGUACAGUCAUUUUUUUAAGGGUAGCUAAUUAGCGGAGGAUCCAGUGGAGUUUUUAUACCCAGUAUGUCUAAGAAUCAUGUGGGCUUGGGUACUGGACUCCACUCCAGGGGGUUCUAUUUCAGAAGUUCUUAUGGCACAGAGAAGUAUGCACUUGAACAGGUGUUUUGUCUGAUUCUGAAGCAAGUGGUCUUCUGUCCAUGAGUGAUUACUACAGUGAGAUAGAUAAUAAAAGUUUGUUUGAACUGGGGCCUACACAUGCCUAUGGGAUCUAGGCAGGAAAUAUAAAUAACAGGGGCUGCCCGAUAGAAGCUGAUUAGGGCUUGGUGCCUAUUGCUGCAAGCUGGAAAACACAUGUAAAUGGAGCAACAGUGUCUCAAUUUUCACUUGUUGUUGUGAUGGGGGAGUGCGAUUCCAAUACUGCUAAAUGGCCUGAGCAUUCAACAGAUAUCAGAAAGCUGGAAAUCUAUACAAAGUCUCGUAAUAUUUAACUGUUGACACCUAAUUGAAAUAAAAUAAAGACUACGUGUUUGGCAGAUAAAAUACGUAUGCUGGAUUCCAUCUCUGAGCAGCCAGUCUGAUGUGUCUGGUCUAGAGAAAGGAAGAAAUAAAAGGUGUUGGGAUUGUGCAGGGUGAGUUUCAACGCUGUUAAGGCAGAGUGGUCUUAGGUGAUUCUCUUUAGAGAAGCUGUAUUUAAACUUCUUGUUCUAUGAACAGUGUCAGGGGCAAAACGGUGACAUGAUCAAAGAUAUUGUGGUUUGUGAUGCAAAAAUAGAAUAUUUGGCACCUAACACAAGCACAAAGAUCUAUUAUUUUCAAUUACUUCCUUAGAGUUUUUUUGGAAGAUUUAUUUUCAGAUUUGGAGGUAACCCAUUGCCAACCGUGUCCUGGGGGCAUGGGAGAUGGGUGGAUUGGCAUGGGCAAGAGGACUUGAGCCUACAGGUGGAAGUUAGGUGGGAGAUGAUAUUGGAGGCAGCAUCUUCCUGGGUGCCUGGAAUAGUAAUGUCUAAGGUGGCCUAAAGCUACACAUGGGGAAAUUAAAAGAAAAGACCUGAGAUGCUGACCCAGACAGUCAGGAACCAAGAGAACUGGAGGCAGAAUGAAGCUGGGAAUAAUGCUUUGGGCCAGAGCUCAUCAAAGGGCAAUCUUUUCUAUAAAGAAGUGAGCUCUAUUUGAGAAAAGAAUAGUUAAAUGUGUCUUGAGGCCAGGCGUGGUGGCUCAUGCCUGUAAUCCCAGCACUUU